AACCCAGACAGAACAGUCCAUUGUUAGUGUCGUGAAACUGAGCUGAAAUCUGUCUGGAUUUCCGGGGUAGAGGCUUGGGAGGCAUGUUGUAGAAUUUUGGUUUAAAGUUUGGUAAUGUGUUUAGUUUAACGUUUUAAAAGUCUUCCACUUCAGUAACAUUUAAACGCUUGACAAACGUGUGUAGAAUAAGGCUGGAUGUUAUUUUACACAUGUUUUAUUUCCAGACGAAGGUCUACCCCAACCCCCCCACCAAAAUAUGCCCUGACGGACCAGAAAACCUGUGCCACUGCUACCAAGAAGUAAAACGCAAAAACGCAGCACAAGCCACCAUGUAACGACGGUGAGGACGACCCUUCACAACGUAUUCCAACCCCUUUCUCUUGAUCAAAGCAGGUGUGAGUCUUGGUGAAUCAAAUACUACAGGCAGAAGUACUACAGCCAGAAAUACUACAGGCAGAAAUACUACAGGCAGAAAUACUACAGGCAGAAAUACUACAGGCAGAAGUACUACAGGCAGAAACACUACAGGCAGAAAUACUACAGGCAGAAGUACUACAGGCAGAAAUACUACAGGCAGAAAUACUACAUGUAGAAAUACUACAGGCAGAAAUACUACAGGCAGAAGUACUACAGGCAGAAGUACUACAGGCAGAAAUACUACAGGCAGAAGUACUACAGGCAGAAGUACUACAGGCAGAAAUACUACAGGCAGAAAUACUACAGGCAGAAAUAUUACAGGCAGAAGUACUACAGGCAGAAGUACUACAGGCAGAAAUACUACAGGCAGAAAUACUACAGGCAGAAAUACUACAGGCAGAAGUACUACAGGCAGAAGUACUACAGGCAGAAAUACUACAGGCAGAAAUACUACAGGCAGAAGUACUACAGGCAGAAGUACUACAGGCAGAAAUACUACAGGCAGAAGUACUACAGGCAGAAAUACUACAGGCAAUGUCAACCUGCCUGAAAUGUGCAACAGACUGCAAGGGUGCAGCGGAAGGUUCACUGAGCAGCGGGAAUGAAGGGAUGAAAGACGUCAUAAAUAGUUAAAAGCAUCAAAGCCUUUUUUUGGUUCAUUGUAUAUCUAAGGUCUUUACUGAAGCCUGUGUCAGAA
rnacentral:lncRNA from 1 species